UACAGGCGUCCCCUUUUUUUGUUUCCUAAUCCUCGCUUUUCCCAUCAAUCCUGGGCGCUACAAAAACGUGAGAAAUCGCGAGGAAUAACGGGGCAUUUAUUCCAUAUGAAUGCGCUGCGGGAUUUCGGUGAAAUUGCCAAGAGCUGCCUGACAUCCGUACGCCAGGAAGGGGAAAAAACAAGGUCGCAUAGAAGAGAACAUACCACUGAGAGGGUUUACCCAACACGACGGCAAGGACAGCAUGUCAGCAUAACAUUCUUGUCAGCCCUCAUGCCCUGGCUGCCCCCAGGACAGGCUCCAGGCUCCCCAGGAUUCUGAACUGGCUAAGUAGUUACAGAAGACGGAUGGACAGAUGGAUGCUUAUUACAGGUUUCUGUUCACCUGUAAUGAGUCAGAAGAGAGGCGUCAGAGGGGCCAGCACGUCUGGAGCCGCGGCGCAGCGCUGUAGAGUGACACACAGGGGGCGCUGCUGUCACUCACUCUAUAUCCCAGUGGGAGGGAAGGGGGGUGCGAUUCACAAAUAGCCUGACAGCCGACCUGACACUGAUGCUGUUCCGCCCCCAGUCACUCCAGAGGGGUAAGAUGACGAGAAGGGCGGUCUAGAGAUCCAAGGCAAAAAUGAAUCCUGUCUUGCAAAG